rnacentral:rRNA from 1 species
UACGUAGGGUGCAAGCGUUGUCCGGAAUUAUUGGGCGUAAAGAGCUCGUAGGCGGUUUGUUGCGUCGGCUGUGAAAACCUGAGGCUCAACCUCAGGCCUGCAGUCGAUACGAGCAGACUAGAGUGUUGCAGGGGAGACUGGAAUUCCUGGUGUAGCGGUGAAAUGCGCAGAUAUCAGGAGGAACACCGGUGGCGAAGGCGGGUCUCUGGGCAACAACUGACGCUGAGGAGCGAAAGCGUGGGGAGCGAACAGGAUUAGAUACCCUGGUAGUCCACGCCGUAAACGUUGGGCGCUAGGUGUGGGGCUCAUUCCACGAGUUCCGUGCCGCAGCUAACGCAUUAAGCGCCCCGCCUGGGGAGUACGGCCGCAAGGCUAAA